rnacentral:tRNA from 1 species
GCCCUGAUAGCUCAGACGGAUAGAGCGGCGGUUUCCUAAACCGCAGGUCGCUGGUUCAAGUCCAGCCCAGGGCA